rnacentral:rRNA from 1 species
UACGUAGGGUGCGAGCGUUGUCCGGAAUUAUUGGGCGUAAAGAGCUUGUAGGCGGUCUGUCGCGUCUGCUGUGAAAAUCCGGGGCUCAACCCCGGACUUGCAGUGGGUACGGGCAGACUAGAGUGUGGUAGGGGAGACUGGAAUUCCUGGUGUAGCGGUGAAAUGCGCAGAUAUCAGGAGGAACACCGGUGGCGAAGGCGGGUCUCUAGGCCGAUACUGACGCUGAGGAGCGAAAGCGUGGGGAGCGAACAGG